CGGGGGCACAACUUCGGGAAACUGGAGCUAAUUCCCCAUAAUACUAUGAAGUCGCAUGGCUUUAUAAUUAAAAUUCCGAUGGUUAGAGAUGAGCGUGCGUUCGAUUAGAUAGUUGGCGGGUAACGGCCCACCAAGUCGACGAUCGAUAGCUGAUGUGAGAGCAUGAUCAGCCACACGGGCACUGAGACACGGGCCCGACUCCUACGGGAGGCAGCAGUAGGGAAUAUUGGGCAAUGGAGGAAACUCUGACCCAGCCAUGCCGCGUGAAGGAUGAAGGUCCUACGGAUUGUAAACUUCUUUAUUAGGGAAGAAACGUCUCGAUUCAUCGGGAUUUGACGGUACCUAAGGAAUAAGCACCGGCUAACUCCGUG
rnacentral:rRNA from 1 species